GAUCAAAUCAAGCGCGAAAAGGGCGUUUGGUGAAUGCCUUGGCAGUAAGAGGCGAUGAAAGACGUGAUACUCUGCGAUAAGCCAUGGGGAGCUGAGAAUAAGCUUUGAUCCAUGGAUUUCUGAAUGGGGCAACCCACCUGAUUGUUUGUUAUUAUUGCUUCGCAAUAUGUACGCUCCGCGCCGACCUUUGGUCGGUACACCGAUCCUUCUGGAUCGGCACUGGGGCUUGCAGCGGCGCGGUUAAUAAUGAGCAAAACCAGGUAUUUUUAGGCUGAAUAUAUAGGCUUAAAAAGGCAAACCCGGGGAACUGAAACAUCUAAGUACCCGGAGGAAAGGAAAUCAAUAUGAUACUCCCCUAGUAGCGGCGAGCGAACGGGGACCAGCCGAGCCAUGAGUGUGGUUAGAAUGCGUUGGAAUGCGCAACCAAAGUGGGUGAUAGUCCCGUAUAAGAAGCAUGAUUGGACGUAUUAAGUAGGGCGGAACACGUGAAAUUCUGUCUGAAGAUCGGAGGACCACCUUCGAAGGCUAAGUACUCCUUACUGACCGAUAGUGAACCAGUACCGUGAGGGAAAGGUGAAAAGCACCCCGACGAGGGGAGUGAAACAGUACCUGAAACCGAACGCCUACAAACAGUUGGAGGGACCUUGCGUCCUGACAGCGUACCUUUUGUAUAAUGGGUCAUCGACUUGGUCUCACGAGCAAGCUUAAGCCGUUAGGUGUAGGCGUAGCGAAAGCGAGUCUUAAUAGGGCGUUGAGUUCGUGGGAUCAGACCCGAAACCGAGUGAUCUAGGCAUGGCCAGGUUGAAGAUAAGGUAACACUUAUUGGAGGACCGAACCCACAUCUGUUGAAAAAGAUCGGGAUGAGCUGUGCCUAGGGGUGAAAGGCCAAUCAAACUCGGAGAUAGCUGGUUCUCUGCGAAAUCUAUUUAGGUAGAGCGUCGACCGAAUACCCUCGGGGGUAGAGCACUGGAUGGGUAAUGGGGCCCCACAGGCUUACUGAUCCUAACCAAACUCCGAAUACCGAGGAGUACUAGUCGGCAGACACACGGCGAAUGCUAACGUCCGUCGUGAAGAGGGAAACAACCCUAACCUCCAGCUAAGGCCCCUAAUUCAUGGCUAAGUGGGAAAGCAGGUGAGACGACCAAAACAACC
rnacentral:rRNA from 1 species